CUCUCUCUCUCUCUCUCUCUCCUUCUCUCUCUCUCUCUCUCUCUCUCUCUCUCUCUCUCUCUCUCUCUCUCUCUCUCUCUCUCUCUCUCUCUCUCUCUCUCUCUCUCUCUCCUCUCCUCUCCUGUCUGUCUGUCUGUCUGUCUCUCCUCCCAAAGCCUCAUCAUACAGUCAGACAAGGAGGAGACUCGGAGGGCAAAGAGAGCAGGACAGCUUAAAUUUGCUUGAUUUUUAAAAAUAUACUGGAUAAAUCAAGAGUUGCACGAUGACUGAUCUUCCUAACUGAGCAAGCUAACUGGAUGGCAAUAUGAAAAAGCAUACUUCUCUUUUGGCAGUGUGAAAUAACAGAGGACCGCCAAAGACACCAAAAGACAGCUUCGAUAACACUAUUAUUUGAGCAAAAUCUCACACUGGAAAGCAGAGGGUUCAUUUCACUGGAUAUACCACAGCCUUCACAGGUGGCACCUAAUUUUUGCAGCCUCAACCAUCAGCAAUGAAUGGCCCAAGAUUCGGGGGAGCAGCUAUAUUCACCUAAAAUUCCAAGCCACACCUGUCAACUGCAUCAAGCAUAACUGAGCACUGGCACGUCGGCUGGGAUUCAUUUGGGCACUUUUAUAGCCCGGAAGUGGAUUAUUGUUUUGUUCUGAGUUAUAGAAAUACCACUGCUGGAGGAUGGGAGCUGACAACUUGAUAAUGAUAAACACAUCCGGGUUGGCCAACUCUCCUCAUCACCUCAAGCUUGGAGCUCAUGCUUUUGUGUCCCUGAAUGAUGCUGCCUAUGCAGAGCUCUCAUGACAAUCUCCAUCCUCUGGCAAGGCACUAAACAUUACUGAGGUGCAGAGUAUGAUUUCGUGCACCCUCUCUGCAAAAAGUAAGCAUGAAGUGAUUUCAGAGGUGGCAGUGGUGUGGAUUUCCUUACGAUAGUACGGUAGUUCUGAAAUGGCUCCAGAACUCCUACCGAAAGACGAAUGAAGCGGAAUGGCUUCUGUCCUAUAUUUUAUUUAGACCCAACAAACUGAUGGAGAUAAAGGAAAUGGAAUACCAAAAUAACAA